UAGGUAAUACCGCACAGUAUAACACAUGCAGCACCUUACCAUUCAAUAAAUUCCCCCCAAUCCCAAACCAAGCUUAAACCAACAUCUCUACACAAGAUUCACCUCAAGAAAAAUGACAAUGGAACUUGGAAUAGCAAAAGCAGAAGCUUGUCUAAGAGUAACAGCAAUACUGUUCCUAGUAUUAACAACAUGUCUAGUUGCUUUCGAUUCUGAGACCAAGGUUGUCAUAUUGUCCAUUGAGAAGAAGGCCACCUACAAAGACAUGAAGGCUCUCAAGAUCUCUAUGUGGGUUACAUCUGCGGCUGCGGGUUAUAACAUGCUUAUGUUAUUUAAGAACUCUCUGAUCUCAGCUUGUUCUGGAGGGAAUUUCAACGGAUCAUAUUUGUGCAUGGCUUGGAUUUACUUCUUGUUGGAUCAGAUUGCUGUGUACUUGACAUUUGCUGCAAACACAGCAUCAUUUGAAGCGGCGCUGCUGGCAUUAACUGGGUCAGAAGCGUUACAGUGGAUGAAGGUAUGCAACAAGUUCACCAGAUUCUGCGUUCAAAUGGGAGGGGCUCUGUUAUGUGGCUAUGUAGCGUCCAUCUUGAUGGCUCUGAUUUCCACUACCUCAGCCUACAGAGUGUUCAGGAUGUACUCCCCAAAGUGGUUCCUGCGUUUAAAGAGCAAAUGAUCAUUAUCUUUCAGAGCGUGUAUCCUGUGAACUUUGUCAAAUGAAGCAAAAAGUUCAUGAAAGUUUGUGGUAGAUGGACAUAAGGUACUUCUUUCCAUCACAACAAGGAACCAACAGCAAAUCCACUCAUUCUGCCACACUCUAUCAUGAAAUUCAAAGAUUCACUCUCAGAAAUUCUCAGAACCGAACAUGCUUCAUGUUUGUGGGUGGAAUGAUGUACUCCUUGUAGCAACGAAAAUGCUUCAUGCCAAUAUGUCAUUUUUGAAAUUGUAAUUCUAAGCGGAAGUCAAGUCUCUAAAAAUGCGAAUGACCUUAGGAUGGUUA